GUGUAUGAAAGGAGAGAAGGUUAGUACACUCCUUGAGAAGGACAGAACAGGUCCUAAUGGCCUGCACAACACCAAUAUGGUUCAUUCAUUCAUUCACUCAUAUUU
rnacentral:ncRNA from 1 species